rfam:Magnetococcus sp. MC-1, complete genome.
CGUACCCUGCGGUGCUCGUGAGACACUGUUCCCUUGGCCCACUCUUUUGGUUCUUGGAACUGGGACUUGUUGGAUGCUCUCACGCCCAGGCUGGGGAGUCUUCCCCACUAAGGGUGUGUGACCUCCACACCGGAUCCACCUUGUAUUCAGGGUGCCAUGUGGUUCCAUGUCCACGGCAUACGCGGGGGAGUU